GUCUUGGUGGUGUAGUGGUAGCACAUGCACUUGGUAAGGGCGAAAGGCAGGUUCAACUCUUGCCUGAGAUCA